rnacentral:rRNA from 1 species
UACGUAGGGUGCAAGCGUUAAUCGGAAUUACUGGGCGUAAAGCGUGCGCAGGCGGUAAUGUAAGACAGUUGUGAAAUCCCCGGGCUCAACCUGGGAACUGCAUCCGAAACUGCCUUGCUCGAGUAUGGGAGAGGGAAGUGGAAUUUCCGGUGUAGCGGUGAAAUGCGUAGAUAUCGGAAGGAACAUCAGUGGCGAAGGCGACUUCCUGGACCAAUACUGACGCUCAGGUGCGAAAGCGUGGGGAGCAAACAGG